GGUGACCUUUCGGUGGACGGUGGACGACAAGCCCUCCUUCACCUUCUACAACGAAGUCUUCCACGUCAUCUACCAGGUGCCGGCUAUCUACAAGCUGUCGCUCACGGCCUCCAACCAUGUCAGCAACGUCACGGUGGACUACAACAUCACGGUGGAGAAGAUGAACCGGAUGAAGGACCUCCUGGUUUCCGAGGUGCCCCAACGCGCCCCGCAGAACGGCACUUUGGACCUGGCCGCCUCCGUCCGAGUGGACUCCGCCGUGAAGGCCACCUUCCUGUGAGUUGUCCACACCUUGGAAUCUUGGGAGCUGUAGUUUUCCAAGACCCUUCUCUGGCAAAGAGUACAUACAGUGCACUCUCCAAACCUAAGAGAGGGUUUCGAUGGCUUGAGUCUCAAACCCUGGUCUCAAAACUUUUGGUCCUCCAGAUGUUGGGACUCAGACUCCCCAAAGCCCCUAUUGCCAGCUUGUCCAAUGGUCAGGGAUUCCGGGAGCUGGAGUCCACAAUGCCUGGGGGACCAAAGUUGGGCGCCACUUUGGCUAAUAUAUAUAAUUACUAGCUGUGCCCAGCCACGCGUUGCUGUGGCGAAGUCUGGUGGUAUGGGAAAUAAAGUAUUGAGGAAUUGGUGGUAGUUAAGGUAAAGGGUAAAGGUUUUCCCCUGACAUUAAGUCCAUUAUAAAUGGGUUAUAUAGCAGUGUGGAAGGGCCUUGAGUCUACACUGCCAUAUAAUCCAGUUAAAAUAAGAUAAUCUGUGGAAGAGGCCUAAGUGAGGCCUAACUCUGCCUGACCCUGGGCCGAGUGGGUUGCUAGGAGACCAAGUGGGCGGAGCUUAGCCUUCUAACUGGCAGCAAUUGGAUAAAAACAAUUAUUCCUCUCCCUCUAAUUAGGACUUUAUUUUUCUUUUCUUUUUGUUGUAUCAACCUAGUGCAGGGGUCCUCAAACUAAGGCCCGGGGGCCGGAUGCGGCCCAUCGAAGCCAUUAAUCCGGCCCCCACAGCACAAGG
rnacentral:lncRNA from 1 species